rnacentral:rRNA from 1 species
UACGUAGGGUGCGAGCGUUAUCCGGAAUUACUGGGCGUAAAGAGCUUGUAGGUGGUUUGUCGCGUUGUUCGUGAAAUCUCACGGCUCAACUGUGAGCGUGCGGGCGAUACGGGCAGACUAGAGUACUGCAGGGGAGACUGGAAUUCCUGGUGUAGCGGUGAAAUGCGCAGAUAUCAGGAGGAACACCGGUGGCGAAGGCGGGUCUCUGGGCAGUAACUGACGCUGAGAAGCGAAAGCGUGGGUAGCGAACAGG